UAGUUGAAUUAUUUUUAAAACAAGAAAAGAAAAAAAUAUAUUUUUCCUCCCUCAUCGUUUUACAAAACGUCUCUGUUUCUUUAUAAUUAAAAAAAAAAAAAAAAAUAUUAUUAUACUCUUCGAAUUUCGAUAUUCAAACAUAAACUCUUUAUUUUAUCAUCAAUGACUUAUUGAGAUUUUUAAUAUUUAUAAAUCAACACGAUUGAUCUAAGUGUGAGGAUGAAUUUCUGCUGGCUGCGAAAGAGUGGACUUGGAGCAUUUAUGAGAAGCUGCUAAAAAUGAUGUCGUCUACCUUGAAUAAAUGGUCUCAAAUUGUUCGCAAGCGUUUGUAACACCUAGAAUGGCGCGCUGACAAGUUUGUCUGGGUACUUAAUUAGAAAAGCAUGACCUAAAAUUUUACAACUUUUUUCCACAAGUGACUACCAUAUGCCUUGCAAUUAAUUUCCUGAGCAGUUUAUUGUAUUUCUACUUUGCCAACUAGGAAGCUUAAUCUAUCAGAUCAUUGUUUGUUUCUGCGUUGUUUGCAGAUUACUUACCGCUUGUUGAAUUUACCAGUUGCUUCAGAUAUGACCUGUUCCAGGAAUUCUUUUAAUUUCAAAUAAAACCAAUCAAGAGAAUUAAAAAAUCAUUUUCUUUUGAUCCGUAUUUAAAAGAAGUCUCUGAAUUUUAUAUAUUGGGAUACACUGAGGUAGUGUUUGGAGCCAAAUGUUACAAUUUAAGCUCUUCCAAGAUAAUGCAUUUCUAAAACUUCUUGUUUUAUUUUCCUUAAUUUAUUUUUAAUACAUCACCUAUCAUCGUACUAA
rnacentral:lncRNA from 1 species